rnacentral:rRNA from 1 species
ACAACUCUCAGCAAUGGAUAUCUCACUCUUGCCUCAAUGAAGAAUGUACUAAAAUACAAUACAUGGUGUGAAUUGUAGAAUCUCAUGAACCAUUGAGUCAUUGAAUGCAAGUUGUGCUACAAGCCAUUAGGCCGACGGCACGUUUGCCUGGGUGUCAUGCAUUGUCUCCCCCUCUAAACCCCCACCCAUUAGGCUUUACAGUAGGGAGUGGAAAAUCACCCUUCAUGAUCUCAUCGAUUGUGGUUGGCCCAAAAUCGAGUCCCUGACAAUGAUAGCAUCAUGAUCGUUGGUGGUAAAGCUCUUGGCAUGCCUCGAUUCUAGUGACGCAUGCUCAUUGUCCAUCUAGACCCCAUUGGACCCCUCGCAUCACUUGAUUGAUGCUAGCAUCAUGACCCUAGGUCAAGUAGGAUUACCUGAUGAAUUUAAGCAUAUCAAUAUGCAAAGAAAAAGAAACUUAACUAGAUUCCCCUAGGAACAACAAGCGAACCAGAAAGAGCUCAACUUGAGAAUAAGGUGCCCAAGGUGUCUGAAUUGUAGUUUACAGAAGCGUCUUCAGUGGUGGACCAGGCCCAAGUCUCCAGGAAAGGGGAGCUAGAGAGGUUGAAGGCCUUAUUAUGCCUAGACCCUAUCACACCAUGAGACACUAUCUGCGAGUCAAGUUGUUUAGGUAUGUAGCCUUAAUAGGGCAGUAAAUUCCAUCCAAGGCUAAAUAUGGGUGAGAAACUGAUAAAGAACAAGUUUCACGAGGGAAAGAUGAAAAGAACUUUGAACACAGAGUCAAAGAGUUCUUGAAAUUAUCAAGAAAAAAGUGAAAUGGGGGUCAAUGAUGCAUCUUGGUUAAAUGUGGAAUAACGAUAGCCGAUCCGUCGAUUAGCUAGGCCAUGGACCAUUGUGGGUGGUGACGGUGGCCUGACCCCAAACUUUCAAUAUGCCUAUGGAGACAUCAUUACCAUGAUUAUAAAAUGUAGCAAUGCCUUGACACUCACGUGCUCUUGACAUAGGCCUGUAGGUUCCUCAUCCGGCCCAUCUUGAAAUAUGGACUAAGGAGUCUAACAUGUGUAUGAGUCAAUGGGGUAGAAAACCUAUAAAACACAAGGAAGCUAAUUGGUGGGAUCCGUCACGAGUGAGCUAUUGAUUGACCUUGAUCUUCUGAUAAGGGUUCAAGUGUAAGCAUGUCUGUAAAGACCUAAAAGAUAAAGAACUAUGCCUGAGUGGGAUAAAGCCAAAAAAAACUAUGGUGGAGGACCACAAUGAUACUAGCAUGUAAAUUGUUCAUCUAACUUAGGUAUAGGUGUGAAAGACUAAUCAAACUAUUUAAUAGCUGGUUCUUUCUGAAGUUUUCCUUAGGAUAGUUGGAGCCCUUAAUGAAUUCCAUUAAGUAAAGCUAAUGAUUAGAGGCAUCGGGAUUGUAACACCCUUGACCGAUUCUUAAACUUUAAAUAGGUAGGAUGGUGCAACUUUAUUAAGCCAUGCCACGAAAUUGAGAGCUCCAAGUGGGCCAUUUUUGGUAAGUAGAACUUGUGAUGCAAGAUGAACCAGAAGCCAAGUUAUGGUGACCAACUUUGCACUAACCUAGAACCCACAAAGUUUGCUGGUUGAUUAAGAUAACAAAACAGUGGUCAUAGAAGUUGAAAUUUGCUAAAGAGUGUGCAAUAACUCACCUAUCGAGUCAACUAGCAUUGAAAAUGGAUGAUGCUUAAACACACGACCUAUACUUGACUAUCAGGGCAAGGGUCAAGCCCCAAUGAGUAAGAAGGUGCAUGGUCACUGCAAAACCUGAGGUAUGAGCUCGAGUGGAGCAGCCAUCAAUGUAGAUCUUGCCAUUAGUAGUAAAUAUUCAAAUGAAAACUUUGAAUGCCAAAGAGAGGAAAGGUUUCAUGUGAAUGGCACUUGCAUAUGGGUCAGUUGAUCCUAAGAGAUGGGGAAAAUAGUUUAAUAGUGCAUCUAACACAAGCUUUGAAAGGGAAUAAGGUUAAAAUUCUUGAACCGAGAUACAGUGAUUAACGGCAACAUUAGAGAAUCUAGAGACAUUGGUGGGGUCCUCGAAAGGAGAUAUCUUUUCUAUUUCAUGACCUGGAAAUGACUCAACUAUAGGUAGGGUCCAGUAGCCAAAUGAGCAACAUAUGUUGCUUGGUGUCUGGUGCACCCCUGGCAACCCUUAAAAAUUUAGAGCACCGAGUGCCAUCUGUGUCCGAUCAUACUCAUAACCACAUCAGGUCUUCAAGGUAAACAACCAUUGGUCAAUGGAACAAUGUAUGCAAAGGAAGUCAGCAAAAUGGAUUCGUAAUCUCAGGAAAAGGAUUAGCUCUAAGGGCUAUGCAUGGGGGUCCUAUUUCUGAACCCAUCGGCUAUCAUUGCACUAUUGAGCUACUCCCAUGGCAAGAAUAAGUCAUCAUGUGUCAGUCUGCAGCCUUCCCCAAAUAAUGAAUAGUCAACUUUGAACUAGUAUGCACUAAGGGAAUCUAACUAUUUAAUUAAAACAAAACAUUGCAAUAGUCCCUACAGAUGCUCACACAAUGUGAUUUUUGCCCAGUGCUUUGAAUGUCAAAGUGAAAAAAUUCAACCAAGCGCAGGUAAAUGGUGGGAGUAACUAUGACUCUCUUAAGGUAGCCAAAUGCCUUGCCAUCUAAUUAUUGAUACGCAUGAAAGGAUUAAUGAGAUUUCCACUAUCCCUAUCUACUAUCUAGUGAAACUACACCCAAGGGAAUGGGUUUGGCAGAAUCAGCAAGGAAAAAAAACCUAAUUGAGCUUGACUUUAGUCUGACUUUAUGAAAUGACUUGAGAGGUAUAGGAUAAGUGGGAGCCCUCGAGUGAAAUUAAAAUACCACUACUUUUAAUGCUACUUUACUUAUUCUGUAAAUCAAAGGUAGGGCACGACCCCUUCUUUUAAACCCAAAGCCAACCUCGAUCAGUCAAUCUAGGUGAAAGACAUUAUCAAGUGGGGAGUUUGGCUGGGGUGGCAUAUUUGUUAAAAGCUAAUGCAAGUGUCCUAAGAUGAGCUCAAUAAGAAUAGAAAUCUCAUGCAGAACAAAAGGGUAAAAGAUCAUUUGAUUUUGAUUUCUAGUACAAAUACAAACUAUGAAAGCAUGGCCAUCGAUCCUUUAGACCAUCAAAAUUUAAAGCUAAAGGUGUUAGAAACCACACGGAUAAUUGGCUUGUGGCAGCCAAGCAUUCAUAGUGACUUUGCUUCUUGAUCUUUCAAUGUAAGCUUUUUUAAUCAUUAUGAAGCAAAAUUCACCAAGUGUUGGAUUGUUCACUAGCCACUGGGAACAUGAACUAGGUUUAAACUAUCAUGAGAUAGGUUAGAUUUACUUACUAAUUGCAUUGUCGUAAUAGUAAUUCAACCUAGUAUGAAAACAAUCAUUGAUUUGCACAAUAGGUCAUCGCACUUGGUUAAAAAGCCAAAGGCACAAAGCUACCAUGUGCUAGAUUAUAACUAAAUGCCUUUAAGUCAAAAUCUAGGCUAGAAGUGAUGCAUGUGCCUGUCACCCAAAUGUUGACCCACAGUAGGGGCCAAUACCUCUAAAGGCAUGUGUCCUAGGUGCAGCCCCUACAGCGAACAAGCUACACAAGCCUCUUUG